AAAUACAAAACCGUAGUAUGGGUGUUGCUGGUGGCAUCUGUUGGGUGACAGGUGAUUGUGACUCUCUACCAUCUUCGACUCUGCCAAUGGCUUCAACCGUCUUCACCUCCCCUUCACGCUCUUCUUCUUCUUCUUCUUCUUCUUUUCUGUUCCCGUCGAAUUUUCCCUAAUCCCCCAAACUAACAUCUCUCUCCCGUUCACUAAAAUCAAAGCCCUCUUUCAACUCUUUUUCCCCCACAUAGAUGACGCUUCAAUGUCAUUUCCAUGGCUCCCCCAAGCCGGUGGCAAAGCCAAGAAAGGUAACAUACUACCUUCAAUUUCGUUUCCACUAAGGGGAAUUCUCUCAUUAUAUAUAUAAAAUUGUUGCAAGUGGUUGUGAUAUUCCUUCCCUUUUUUAUGAUGGGUUUUCUCUAUUUUUUGUUUGAGAGAGAUCCAAAAUCCUGUGAGUCAGGCACUCUAUAAUCCUCGACUCUUCUGCUGCCUCCAGAGCUACUGUCAAUCCAAUGUGCUCGAAGCCUACACCCGCCUUCGAAAAGUCGCGAAUGCGUUGAUAUAGGAGUUUUGAAAUUGGGAAUCUGCCUGGCCUAUGGAUGCUUUGUAUGCCAUUGUUUAUGAUAUUAGGCUUCUUGCUGAGAAGAAAGAUUCAUAUGCAGAAAUUGCUGGAUAUUCUACAUAUGCUACCCAAAACAAAUGCUUGGUGAUUAUAGAAGGCACAUAAUGAUCUAUCAAAUCCAGUAAGGUUUUUAUGAUUGUUGUUACUAAUGGGAGCAGAUUUCCGGGACUUGGAGGUCUUGGAGUUCAUGGAACUGGCAUUGCCAUUAGGAAGCUUGAUAUGUAUGUUGCAGCUGUUGUGAUAAGUCCUCAUAUGAUAUAAUGUUGCAUAUCACAAGUAAGAUUGCAUAUUAUGUGAUCACAUGAGUUUUCGUUUGUGGGACAUUGUUGGUGAGUUAUUUCACUAUUUAUCAAAAUUUUUUUUUUUUUGGGAUGUUCUUGGUUUUUCUCCUUUUUUUAAAUAGGCUAAUAAUAUUACAAUAGAUCAAUACCUUUAAGCUACCGUGUAAAUAAUGGAAAUUAAAUAUGAUUAUUAUGUUUAAU